CGCCGCGGCCGCUCUGGCACGGCGGCCACAGCUAAAAAGAAAAACGUUUCGCGAUCGCUGACCUGCACCCGAGCCAGAGCGAACCCUACCCGAGCGAAUCAUCCCGAGCUUUUCCCUCAAGCCGCCGCCACAACUCAUCCCGCACGCCGCAACCGCCGCCGCCGCACCUCACCCCGCUCUGCUAUCCACUGCCGCCGCACCUCACCCCGCUGGCCAAGGUGCUUGAGGAAGCGACGGCUGCUGCGAGCAGAGCUUAGGGACGCCAUGGAGUUUCUGGGGCAGCCCAGUUCGGCGUGGGAGGGAGGCGCCCCGGCCGCAAGCUGAAGUGUAGUUGCGCUACAGUGUCCGUGGGAGUGUCAAGUGUGGCCUCUUCAUAUGGGUUAGGGGUAUGGCACACUCCUUGGAUUUUCUUCCUCCCCUCCCCUUUCCGCGUGGAUCAGUGGGUGGGUAGUUUGUGGAUGGCUAGAGGCAAAAUUGGGCAAUGGCUAUGAUUUGUCGUUCAUGUUAUUGUGGAUCCUAGAGCAAAGUUUAUCUUAUCCUCUGUAGUUAGUCGCCCACAUUGGAUAAUUUGACCAAAUUGCCUUGUCUGGAGAGGAUGUGUACAGGAACCUGCAGGAAAACUUCAGUCGGAGCAAGAGCCGGAGGUGCAUCUGCGCAAGGUUGAACUGUCCACGUAGAUCUUCUUCCUCUGCAGCUUGACAACUGCAGCAAGACUUUGCCUUGAGUAAGCAUGCUCAUGUACACGGCAAGAGGCAGUAUGUUUGUCAGGAGCCCGGCUGUGGGAAGGUACAUCCAACAAAAAGGGAAUGCAUUUAACAUUACACCUUUACCAAUGGUAUUAACGUUAGCGAACCUUCCUGUUUACUAGCAUUGAUGGAUUUUCCAGUAAUUUUAGGCUCGUAUGUGAAAUGUUUAUAAAAUCAUUUUUCUUCAUCUUUCUAUCCACAAGGACCUUUCUCUGUUUGCAUAGUUAUUUACGGAUUUAAGGUUCCAUGAUUUGAAUACAUCUAAUACCUCUGGUUAUGUGUCAGCAAAGGUUCAGAUAAAUGAUCAAUUCACUAAUUAAUCAAUCAGUAAAGGAUCAGUUGUUUAAUCCUACUAGAUAGAUACUCCAUUCAUCCAAUCGACUCUGAGAGUUAAUAAUGGAUUGAUGCAGUACAUACAUUCCUUCAAAUAAUUUAAUCCUACUGGACUGAUACUCCAUUCGACACCGAGAGAUUUAAGAUCCAUAUGUAUCGAAGUCUUGAUCUUUUUUCUGGUCCUGCUUAACCGGAUUAGAUGUAAUUUUGGUCUCCGCCCGAGCUCUAGCUGCCUCAUGGAUCUUUUUAGCAUCUACAACGAGCAUUUGUUUGAUGCAUGGAUUUGUGCUCUAUGCGCUGAUCCAUUUGUUUGAUGCAUAUGCUUAUUCAUGUGCUGCCACCAUGGGGAUGGUCAUUUAUAUGUUGGAAAGCAUUUGGACUGUGUGAGCAAUUAUAGUAGCCCUUAAAUUGUCAUGUGAUUUAUAUCAACGUCUUAAUCUGGUAAAUUUUUGGAUUUAUGCAAAUGCCAUUGUAACAUUACUAGAUUUGCCGAAUUAGCUGACUAAGGUUCAGGAAGAAGUUAUUAGAUCCCAGCAGCUGUGAAGUUAUAUAGUGAAGUGGAGUUAGAGUUAUAAGGUGAGACACUUUAUUUCUUGCCAAAUAUUUUUACAAGUGAUGGAAAUGCAGUGGAGUUUAUUGUAGUUGAACAAAACCAUCAAUGAUGUCAGAGCGGAUAAAAAUGAUGAUAAGAGCAUUCCAGAUAAUGCAGUGGUGGAGUCGAGGUAGAAAGACACAAACCACCUCCAUAAACAAAACAAAACUGCUUGGCCAUCCUUAUAUAUCAAGUAGUAAUGGCGGCAAUGGUAAAAGAUACACGCACUAAUAGUUAUAGUCUGGUAGACUGUCAGUACUUAUGCCUACUAAAGUAGCAGCAACACCGGAGUUUUGUUUAGUGCCGUCUCGGCAGCCGUCCUAUAAUCCCGUUCGUUGCGAAAUCUCUUGCCAGUACCGAGAGUAUUUACUACCCUUUCCUUACUGAACUUAGCAGCAGGCUUCUCCUCUCCUUGGUUUACUUUGUGGUUUGCUGAAUGAUGUUGGCCCAGGGCGUACAAGAUGUGCUUUGUUGGUAACAACCAUUAAUAAUAUGUCUGUGUAAUAUACUAUAUAGGUGUGCAGUUGUGAUUUUUAGCUUGCAGUGCACUAACGGACUGUCUAAUUCUGCUGAACUCGAAGCUUGUGUGAGAUGUGAGCAAUGGCCAUAUUCUGAUUCAUCGUUUUUUAUUUUUAUCCGCUUGCCUGCUGCAUCGAAUUAUAUACCCGCUUGAGCUUCUGAUUAUUAUUGAGAAAGUUACAUUGUGUCUGUGACCUGAAUUAAUUCACAUCAAUAAAUUGAAUUAUCGAUGCAAUUGCGCGGUUAGAUAAUGCAGUGUCUACUCUUGCUCUCCCGUUGCAACGCAAGAGCACAUUUGCUAUCAACUUUCAAAGAUUGACAUGGCUGUUGUCUUUGCUUUCUUGCUUAAGACAAAAAAGGGAUUUUUUAUUGUUAUUUUAAACCAAAGUCGUUUGAAAUUUUUGUUAUGAUAUGGCUGUUUGACUGAUUGUAAUGUUAUUUUAGUGGUAUU